rnacentral:rRNA from 1 species
AUUGAACGCUGGCGGCAGGCCUAACACAUGCAAGUCGAGCGAGCGGCGGACGGGUGAGUAAUGUAUGGGGACUGCCCGAUAGAGGGGGAUAACUACUGGAAACGGUAGCUCAUACCGCAUACUAUCGGAUAACCCAUAUGGGAUUAGCUAGUAGGUGAGGUAAUGGAUCACCUAGGCGACGAUCCCUAGCUGGUCUGAGAGGAUGAUCAGUCACACUGGAACUGAGAAACGGCCCAGACUCCGACGGAGGCAGCAGUGGGGAAUAUUGCACAAUGGGAGAAAGCCUGAUGCAGCCAUGCCGCGUGUAUGAAGAAGGCCCUCGGAUUGUAAAGUACUUUAAGUCGGGAGGCGUUACCGACAGAAGAAGCACCGGCUAACUCCGUGCCAGCCGCCGCGGUAAUUC